CUCCCUGAUGUUAGCGGCGGACGGGUGAGUAACACGUGGGUAACCUGCCUGUAAGACUGGGAUAACUCCGGGAAACCGGGGCUAAUACCGGAUGCUUGUUUGAACCGCAUGGUUCAAACAUAAAAGGUGGCUUCGGCUACCACUUACAGAUGGACCCGCGGCGCAUUAGCUAGUUGGUGAGGUAACGGCUCACCAAGGCGACGAUGCGUAGCCGACCUGAGAGGGUGAUCGGCCACACUGGGACUGAGACACGGCCCAGACUCCUACGGGAGGCAGCAGUAGGGAAUCUUCCGCAAUGGACGAAAGUCUGACGGAGCAACGCCGCGUGAGUGAUGAAGGUUUUCGGAUCGUAAAGCUCUGUUGUUAGGGAAGAACAAGUGCCGUUCAAAUAGGGCGGCACCUUGACGGUACCUAACCAGAAAGCCACGGCUAACUACGUGCCAGCAGCCGCGGUAAUACGUAGGUGGCAAGCGUUGUCCGGAAUUAUU
rnacentral:rRNA from 1 species